UGGGGAAUAUUGCACAAUGGGCGCAAGCCUGAUGCAGCCAUGCCGCGUGUGUGAAGAAGGCCUUCGGGUUGUAAAGCACUUUCAGCGAGGAGGAAGGUGGUGAGCUUAAUACGCUCAUCAAUUGACGUUACUCGCAGAAGAAGCACCGGCUAACUCCGUGCCAGCAGCCGCGGUAAUACGGAGGGUGCAAGCGUUAAUCGGAAUUACUGGGCGUAAAGCGCACGCAGGCGGUUUGUUAAGUCAGAUGUGAAAUCCCCGGGCUCAACCUGGGAACUGCAUUUGAAACUGGCAAGCUAGAGUCUCGCAGAGGGGGGUAGAAUUCCAGGUGUAGCGGUGAAAUGCGUAGAGAUCUGGAGGAAUACCGGUGGCGAAGGCGGCCCCCCUGGACGAAGACUGACGCUCAGGUGCGAAAGCGUGGGGCAGCAAACAGGAUUAGAUACCCUGGUAGUCCAGCGCUGUAAACGAUGUCGAUUUGGAGGUUGUGCCCCUUGAGGCGUGGCUUCCGGAGCUAACGCGUUAAAUCGACCGCCUGGGGAGUACGGCCGCAAGGUUAAAACUCAAAGGAAUUGACGGGGUCUAGCUG
rnacentral:rRNA from 1 species